CUACGGGAGGCUGCAGUGGGGAAUAUUGCACAAUGGGGGAAACCCUGAUGCAGCAACACCGCGUGGAGGAUGACACUUUUCGGAGCGUAAACUCCUUUUAUAUAGGAAGAUAAUGACGGUACUAUAUGAAUAAGCACCGGCUAACUCCGUGCCAGCAGCCGCGGUAAUACGGAGGGUGCAAGCGUUACUCGGAAUCACUGGGCGUAAAGAGCGUGUAGGCGGGUUAAUAAGUCAGAAGUGAAAUCCAAUGGCUCAACCAUUGAACUGCUUUUGAAACUGUUAACCUAGAAUAUGGGAGAGGUAGAUGGAAUUUCUGGUGUAGGGGUAAAAUCCGUAGAGAUCAGAAGGAAUACCGAUUGCGAAGGCGAUCUACUGGAACAUUAUUGACGCUGAGACGCGAAAGCGUGGGGAGCAAACAGGAUUAGAUACCCUCGUAGUC
rnacentral:rRNA from 1 species